GCUGAUGUAGCUCAGUAGGUAGAGCGCAUCCUUGGUAAGGAUGAGGUCGCCGGUUCAACUCCGUUCAUCAGCUCCA
rnacentral:tRNA from 1 species